rnacentral:rRNA from 1 species
UGUACACACCGCCCGUCGCUACUACCGAUUGAAUGGCUUAGUGAGAUCUCCGGAUUGGCGUUAGGGAGCCGGCAACGGCACCCUUUGGCUGAGAAGUUGAUCAAACUUGGUCAUUUAGAGGAAGUAAAAGUCAUAACAAGGUUUCCGUAGGUGAACCUGCGGAAGGAUCAUUA